rnacentral:rRNA from 1 species
AGGAUGAACGCUGGCGGCGUGCUUAACACAUGCAAGUCGAACGAUGAAGGCUGGAGCUUGCUCUGGCUGGAUUAGUGGCGAACGGGUGAGUAACACGUGAGUAACCUGCCCCAGACUCUGGGGAUAAGCGCUGGAAACGGCGUCUAAUACCGGAUACGAGCUUCGCCGCAUGAUGAGGAGCUGGAAAGAAUUUCGGCUGGGGUGACUCGCGGCCUAUCAGCUUGUGGUGAGGUAAUGGCUCACCAAGGCGACGACGGGUAGCCGGCCUGAGAGGGUGACCGGCACGACUGGGACUGAGACACGGCCCAGACUCCGACGGGAGCAGCGAGUGGGAAUUUGGACAAGUGGGCGAAAGCCUGACUCCAGCCAUGCCGCGUAGCAGGA